rnacentral:rRNA from 1 species
UAUGUGAUCGUCUCUCGCAUAUCAAUAAGCGGAGGAAAAGAAACUAACAAGGAUUCCCCUAGUAACGGCGAGUGAAGCGGGAAGAGCUCAAAUUUGAAAUCUUAAAGGGUUUCCCUUUACGAAUUGUAGUUUAAAGAAGUGUUUUCUGUUGAGGUUUUGGUAAAAGUUCUUUGGAAUAGGACAUCAUGGAGGGUGAGAAUCCCGUAUUUGACCUUUACUUUCAACUUUGUGAUACACUUUCAAAGAGUCGGAUUGUUUGGGAAUGCAGUCCAAAAUGGGUGGUAAAUUUCAUCUAAAGCUAAAUAUUGGCGAGAGACCGAUAGCGAACAAGUACCGUGAGGGAAAGAUGAAAAGAACUUUGAAAAGAGAGUUAAACAGUACGUGAAAUUGUCAAAAGGGAAGCGUUUGACACCAGUGUUGUUUUUCUGAAAAUCAAUUAAAGAACUGUUUAUGCUAAGUUGUUUAGACUUUAUCAGCUAACUGUUUAGUUUUGAGCUUUUCUUUAAUGCACUUUUCAGUUAACAAGUCAACAUCAAUUUCUUUUGCUGUAAAAAAGCUUGAGGAAGGUGGCUUGAGAUUCGUCUUAAGUGUUUAUAGCCUCUUGCCUAUGCAGUCGGAGAGAUUGAGGUCUGCAGCGUAGAUCCUUCGGGGCUAAAUGCAUUUGUGCUAAGUUAUAGCAUUUUAUAGACAACUUGUUGACUAUGAUUUGUCUUGUAGCUUACUCGCUUAUGUUAUUUUACCUACGCUUAGGAUGUUGAGUAGCGACAUACGCAC